rnacentral:lncRNA from 1 species
AACUUAUGUUUACCUUCCAAACGACCUAUCUCAAGAGGAAACUUAUUUGAAGAAAAAGUUGGCGCCCUUUUGGGGGGAUCUGGGUUUUGCUAAUGGUGUAAGACUUUCUACAGUUGCGUCAAAGAAAUGGUACAUAGAGACUUGGCUGUUAAUGAAGGCUCCCACAAAAAUAAGUGGCACAAUAUUUUUGGUAAGGGAGUGGAAGACUUG